CCUACGGGCGGCUGCAGUGGGGAAUAUUGCACAAUGGGCGAAAGCCUGAUGCAGCGACGCCGCGUGAGGGAUGAAGGCCUUCGGGUUGUAAACCUCUUUCAGUAGGGAAGAAGCGCAAGUGACGGUACCUACAGAAGAAGCACCGGCUAACUACGUGCCAGCAGCCGCGGUAAUACGUAGGGUGCGAGCGUUGUCCGGAAUUAUUGGGCGUAAAGAGCUUGUAGGCGGUUUGUCGCGUCUGCCGUGAAAAUCCGGGGCUCAACUCCGGACUUGCGGUGGGUACGGGCAGACUAGAGUGUGGUAGGGGAGACUGGAAUUCCUGGUGUAGCGGUGAAAUGCGCAGAUAUCAGGAGGAACACCGAUGGCGAAGGCAGGUCUCUGGGCCACUACUGACGCUGAGAAGCGAAAGCGUGGGGAGCGAACAGGAUUAGAUACCCCAGUAGUC
rnacentral:rRNA from 1 species